GAUGAACGCUGGCGGCGUGCUUAACACAUGCAAGUCGAACGGAAAGGCCCUGCUUGCCGGGUACUCGAGUGGCGAACGGGUGAGUAACACGUGGGUGAUCUGCCCUGUACUUUGGGAUAAGCCUGGGAAACUGGGUCUAAUACCGAAUAUGACAAUUGUUUGGAUGCGAUUGUGGAAAGCUUUUGCGGUAUGGGAUGAGCUCGCGGCCUAUCAGCUUGUUGGUGGGGUAAUGGCCUACCAAGGCGUCGACGGGUAGCCGGCCUGAGAGGGUGUACGGCCACAUUGGGACUGAGAUACGGCCCAGACUCCUACGGGAGGCAGCAGGGGGGAAUAUUGCACAAUGGGCGCAAGCCUGAUGCAGCGACGCCGCGUGGGGGAUGACGGCCUUCGGGUUGUAAACUCCUUUCGCAACCGACGAAGCCUUUUGGUGACGGUAGGUGGAGAAGAAGCACCGGCUAACUACGUG
rnacentral:rRNA from 1 species